GACGAACGCUGGCGGCGUGCUUAACACAUGCAAGUCGAACGGAAAGGCCCUGCUUUUGUGGGGUGCUCGAGUGGCGAACGGGUGAGUAACACGUGAGUAACCUGCCCUUGACUUUGGGAUAACUUCAGGAAACUGGGGCUAAUACCGGAUAGGAGCUCCUGCUGCAUGGUGGGGGUUGGAAAUUUUCGGCGGUUGGGGAUGGACUCGCGGCUUAUCAGCUUGUUGGUGGGGUAGUGGCUUACCAAGGCUUUGACGGGUAGCCGGCCUGAGAGGGUGACCGGCCACAUUGGGACUGAGAUACGGCCCAGACUCCUACGGGAGGCAGCAGUGGGGAAUAUUGCACAAUGGGCGGAAGCCUGAUGCAGCAACGCCGCGUGCGGGAUGACGGCCUUCGGGUUGUAAACCGCUUGCGCCUGUGACGAAGCGUGAGUGACGGUAAUGGGUAAAGAAGCACCGGCUAACUACGUG
rnacentral:rRNA from 1 species